GCAAGUCUGGUGCCAGCAGCCGCGGUAAUUCCAGCUCCAAUAGCGUAUAUUAAAGUUGUUGCAGUUAAAAAGCUCGUAGUUGAAUUUCGGGAUCAAUAUUUCGGUCAUGCCGUUGGUAUGCACUGUUAUCAUUGAUUUCUCACCUUCUAAAGAACCAUAAUGCCAUUAAUUUGGUGUUACGGGGAAUUAGGACUGUUACCUUGAAAAAAUUAGAGUGUUUAAAGCAGGCUCACGCUUGAAUACAUUAGCAUGGAAUAAUGAAAUAGGACAUCCGAUUCUAUUUUGUUGGUUUCUAGGAUCGAUGUAGUGAUUAAUAGGGAUAGUUGGGGGCAUUAGUAUUCAAUUGUCAGAGGUGAAAUUCUUGGAUUUAUUGAAGACUAACUACUGCGAAAGCAUUUGCCAAGGAUGUUUUCAUUAAUCAAGAACGAAAGUUAGGGGAUCGAAGACGAUCAGAUACCGUCGUAGUCUUAACCAUAAACUAUGCCGACUAGGGAUCGGAUGAUGUUAAUUUUUUAAUGACUCAUUCGGCGCCUUACGGGAAAC
rnacentral:rRNA from 1 species